rnacentral:Y_RNA from 1 species
GGUUGGCCCAAGUUCAGUGGAGUUUACAACUAAUUGAUCACAGCCAGUCACAGAUUUCUUUGUUCCUUCUCUGUAAGAUUCUCACUGCUGCUUCACUUGACUGGCUUUUU